UACGUAGGGUGCAAGCGUUGUCCGGAAUUAUUGGGCGUAAAGAGCUCGUAGGCGGUCUGUCGCGUCGGCUGUGAAAAACUCGGGGGCUCAACCCCCGAGCCUGCAGUCGAUACGGGCAGACUAGAGUGCUGUAGGGGGAGACUGGAAUUCCUGGUGUAGCGGUGAAAUGCGCAGAUAUUAGGAGGAACACCGGUGGCGAAGGCGCCGCUCUGGGCCGAAACUGACGCUGAGGAGCGAAAGCGUGGGUAGCAAAACAGG
rnacentral:rRNA from 1 species